CAAUCUUUCUCUUCACGACUAGCUCUCUCGGUCUCUCACUCCCCUUCACGAAAGACAAAUCUGAGAAGGGCUUCACCGCAUUCGAGUCAAGGGUUUCUCUGAUUCAAGACGAAAUUUCUACAGUUGAAAUUUCUUGUUUCAAUCCGCGAAGAACAACGAAGGAGCUUUACGCUAUCGUCCUUCGUACAAUGUUUCCCCGGGAUCAAACAUACCCGUUAUCUGCAGAGAAGACGGCUCUGAUGGUGCAGUGGUCCUCCAAUGCAUGAAAUGGGGACUUAUUCCCAGUUUCACUAAGAAAACUGAGAAACCUGAUCACUAUAAGAUGUUUAAUGCUCGAUCUGAGUCCAUCAGUGAAAAGGCUUCUUUUCGUUGUCUUAUUCCUAAAAAUUGGUGCCUUGUUUCAGUAGAAGGGUAUGAGUACAUCUUUUGUUAACUGUCAGCUUCUCCUAAUUUAUGCAGCUGUUUUCACUUGAUAAUUCAUUGAAGUGGUUUCAGUUGACAAUAAACAUGACCCCUCUUACAAAUUUUGACAUUUUUCAGAUAUUCUAUGAA